CUGGAAUACUAUCAAUAACACAAAGUUAUUGGUGCUAUUGAUUUUUUAGCCCUUGGAUUGAUAAAUAGAUGGUUAGGAUGAUGUGGGUCUCCUAGGAUUGAGUGAGUAGUUGGUUGAAUUGUAUAAUCUAACGGGUAAAAGUAAUCAAAAGGUUAAAUCUAACGGUGGAAAACUCGAUAACACCAAAUCCUUAGUGCUAUCGAUAGUACCCAUCCGGACUAUAUAUAUAUAUAGUGUAAUACUGAAUACAA
rnacentral:lncRNA from 1 species